rnacentral:rRNA from 1 species
AUUGAACGCUGGCGGCAGGCCUAACACAUGCAAGUCGAGCGUGCGGCGGACGGGUGUGUAAUGUAUGGGGAAUGCCAGAUAGAGGGGGUUAACUACUGGAAACGGUGGCUAAUACCGAAUACUAUCGGAUAACCCAUAGUGGAUUAGCUAGUAGGUGGGGUAAAGGUUCGCCUAGGCGACGCUCUCUGGCUGGUCUGAGAGGAUGAUGAGGCACACUGGGGCUGUGACACGGCCCAGACUCCGACGGAGGGAGGAGUGGGGGAUAUUGCACAAUGGGCGCAAGCCUGAUGCAGCCAUGGCGCGUGUAUGAAGAGGGCCUUAGGGUUGUAGAGUACUUUCAGCGGGGAGGCGUUACCCGCAGAAGAAGCACCGGCUAACUCCGUGCCAGCAGCCGCGGUAAUUC